rnacentral:rRNA from 1 species
UACGUAGGGGGCAAGCGUUGUCCGGAAUCAUUGGGCGUAAAGAGCGUGUAGGCGGCCCGGUAAGUCCGCUGUGAAAGUCCAGGGCUCAACCCUGGGAUGCCGGUGGAUACUGUCGGGCUCGAGUCCGGAAGAGGAGUGUGGAAUUCCUGGUGUAGCGGUGAAAUGCGCAGAUAUCAGGAGGAACACCGGUGGCGAAGGCGGUUCUCUGGGCCUUACCUGACGCUGAGGAGCGAAAGCAUGGGGAGCAAACAGG